rnacentral:rRNA from 1 species
GACGAACGCUGGCGGCGUGCCUAAUACAUGCAAGUUGAGCGCUGAAGGUUGGUACUUGUACCAACUGGAUGAGCAGCGAACGGGUGAGUAACGCGUGGGGAAUCUGCCUUUGAGCGGGGGACAACAUUUGGAAACGAAUGCUAAUACCGCAUAAAAACUUUAAACACAAGUUUUAAGUUUGAAAGAUGCAAUUGCACCACUCAAAGAUGAUCCCGCGUUGUAUUAGCUAGUUGGUGAGGUAAAGGCUCACCAAGGCGAUGAUACAUAGCCGACCUGAGAGGGUGAUCGGCCACAUUGGGACUGAGACACGGCCCAAACUCCUACGGGAGGCAGCAGUAGGGAAUCUUCGGCAAUGGACGAAAGUCUGACCGAGCAACGCCGUGAGUGAAGAAGGUUUUCGGAUCGUAAAACUCUGUUGGUAGAGAAGAACGUUGGUGAGAGUGGAAAGCUCAUCAAGUGACGGUAACUACCCAGAAAGGGACGGCUAACUACGUG